UCUCCGUAGGUGAACCUGCGGAGGGAUCACUACAGAGUUCAUGCCCUACCGGGUAGAUCUCCCACCCUAUGUUAUUAUUACUUUGCUGCUUUGGCGGGCCGUUAGGCUCCGGCCCGACUACCGGCCCCGGCUGGUAAGCGCCCGCCAGAGGACCCAAAACCCUGAAUAUUAGUGUCGUCUGAGUACUAUAUAAUAGUUAAAACUUUCAACAACGGAUCUCUUGGUUCUG
rnacentral:misc_RNA from 1 species